UAAACCAGGGGUUCAGCUUCACUCCUCUCGAGCCUUUCUGUUUUUUCCAUGCAGUCCAGCACUCGUGUCACCAUGUACAGCCCGUCCGCCUUUGUUUUUGUCCUAAUUUCCUGCGGUAUUUGUAUUAUUACAGUUACAGCGCAAACACCGACUCCUGCUCCAGCGGACACUCCCUGUGCCGUGAAAUCCAACACCACUUGUGAUGAAUGCUUGCAGAAUGUGACAUGCCUGUGGUGCAUAACGACCAAAAAAUGCAUCGAAUACCCGGUGAAGAGCAUCCUGCCCUCCAACAGCGUUUGUCCACUGAAUGAUGCACGUUGGGGGCUAUGCUGGCUCAACUUCCAGAUAUUGAUCAUCACCGCGUCGGUGCUGGCUGGUAUCAUCAUCAUCGCUGUUCUUGUUUGCUGCUUCUGCUGCUGCAAGUGUGAAAAACUUGGGAGAAAGAGAGAAGACAUGCAGAUGGAGCGACAAACUCGGCUGAGGAAAGACCGCCAGAAAGCGAGGCCAGCAACUGUCUUGUGAUGUUGGGCAUGCCCAGGACAUCUCUACCUUCUUCUCAGGCUCUCUUCUUCCACGGUCCAUCGCUCUAUCUGUUGCUGCAGGAGGUCAGAAAUGCAGAUGAGGCACGAUGAAAUCAGGCACAAAUACGGUUUGUCGAAGGAUAACCCAUACGCCCGUAUGGAUGAUCAUUAAGGAGAAGCAGCCGUUCGUUAAGUUGAUCCUAUUGAAGCCAGUAACACGGAGAUACAGCGUACAAGGAGCUCAUGAUAAACUGUGACUGUCUGAUUGAUUUCAGCGCGACAGUGUUUUCAGAAUACUCCUAGCCUGAUGCUGCACUGUUUUGCUUGAUUAAUAUUUCUUAUGCAUUAAUUUCAAUUUAAUUUGAAAAAGCAAGCAUCCCCAGUUUAGUUUGUAAAAGUCCAAAGCUGACGAGUGCUGUGGUGCUUCUUCUGUAACAAGCAGUUUCACUUUCAUACUACAUUUACAAUAUACUCGAUUUGACUCAUCCAUGUCUGCAGCUCAACACUUCUUUUUCUUUAAAUAGUUCAUGUAACAUAUUUGUCCUUUUCUCCAUUUUUAUUGCAUUCCGGAAUUAUUUUCGUUUUUUAUUGAACAAAAGAAAAUGCGUGUUUUUGAACUGCAUCUGAAUCAUCUGCCAAUAAAAAAAUAAAUUAA